UUGACCUGGGUAAAUGCGUGUAUGUCCACAUGGUCACAACAACCAAAUUUUUAUUCUCCCCGGGGGCCGAAAAUUUUUUUUUUUUUGCCGGGGUUUUUUUUUUUUUUUUUUUAAAGUUAGCGGUAACCCGUUCAAUCAUGAUCUGCCACCAUUAGUUCCACAACCAGGAGAAGAGGAACAACUGUCUGGACCGUGUACAAGUCUCCUG
rnacentral:rRNA from 1 species